AAUAACAGCAGCACAUCAAUGAUUGAAGAGUUUAGAGAUGCCGGGCCGUCCUGGUUCUGCUACUUUUCAGUCUUUUAAAGUCUGUAACGAUGGUUCGCAGGUAGGGAGAAUAUCGUUACCCUUUUCUCUUGAGUCUAAUGGUGAAGAUGUCUGCAGGGGAUGGAAGCUCCUGGCACGUGACUUCUGUCUGUUCUGUGUCACAGUUUUCUUGCUGCAGGUGAGACUGUACCGGCUCCCUGCUGAGCCUCUGCAUUCACUUCUGUACAGCCGUCAUGGGACGUCUGUCCAAGAAGAACACCAGCUACACCGCUCACAGAUGCUUCAGUCUAAGUUGCAUUUUCUGCAUUAUUCAAAACUCACAAGCAUGUUUUUGUUGCCAUAAGCUGUUUUAGCCCAUUUCGGUUUGCUUGUUUGUUGUUUUGUUGGUUUGUCAGCAGGAUUGCACAAUGACUAAAGAGCGGAGUUUGAUGGACUUUGGAUGGAGGAGGAUGAGUCUCAGCCCAGAACAGACUGCAUCAGCUUUGAGUGCAGAUCAGGAAUUUGUCUUUAACCAUAUGCUGCUUGGCUGACUCAGCAUCAGCUCACUGCACACGGCGCUCCAGCUCCUCCUUAUUCUUUCCUCUGUUUGGGUGUCAGUCAUGUCUAAGGAGUAAAUAAUGAUCCAUUCAAAAUCUGUUCACGGUCACUUCGAAAUUCUUCCCUCAUCCUCUGUGAAAACCUCUUGUGAAGAGGAGAGCUCUUUCACACAUUCACAAACACAGAGGAUCCAUAAAGACAUCCGAUGAAGAAUCAAAAGUAGGCAGCAGAGAUGUUGGUUUGGGAAUCGACAGGAGGAGUGAAGUGUCUCUUCCCCGAAGCUGAAGUAGGUGGUUCCAGACGGCAUGCGGAGUUGAAAAAGAAAGUGCUUUCAAAGAGUGGAGAGGCGUCUCGGGAGCGACGACGCUUUUAUUUCUCCCUCAGAAGGCAGAGUGAGCACCUGAAGACGUGUCCGGGCCAACACAUCUGUGUGCUGAUGUUGUCGCUGUGCUCGUCUGCUUUGUCCACUCAGAACUUAAGACUUGAUUCAUCAGUCAGAUAAUCCUUUCCAAACUAAAUACAGCCUUAAAAGCAUUUUUUAAAAAUUCAUUUUCCUGUUUGUUUUUGUGGUAAGUCAUCAGUAAUAUAAUAUGUUGUGUGCAACAGGCUUUAUAUUCUCUUCCCAAUUGUACAUCAUUGGUGUUGUGUUUUGAAUUAAAGUGGCUCUAUGUCACAUUUUGCAGCGGUUUAUGUGUGUUAAUCACUUUUUUAUCAGCCAUAUGUGAAUAAAUUGUAACAGGAUGUGAAAAAUUAGAACCUUCCCGUCUCUCCCGGUUGCCUUUACAAGCCUGUGGACGACUUGCCCUCAGAUGUUAAACGGCGUGUGAAUGACGGAUGUCUUUGUAAGACGUUUUCCUCAACAGUCCAAAGGAUGUAACGUUAUCCACAUUUGUCCAGUGCCUCUCUCCGCUCUGCUAACACAGAUCAGCGGGAGCUAACGUUAGUUUAGAAAUGGAGCCUGCUAACAUAUACUAGUGCCAGGAUACUUAAUGUUUCCACUGCGAUGCUGAGAGAAUUAUCAUGGCGCUGCUGUGAAACCCUGUGUGUUGGUCCUUCUGAGGCCACAUGGUAGGAAAACAUGUGUAAAGGCAACAGCACUGCCACUUCAGACUAUAUUCCAUUUAAACGUCCCAGCCAUGCCAGUGAGUCAUAAUGACAGGGCCCUGAAACACCUUAACUAAAUGCAGCCAUCGAUAAAAUUAUUAGCCACAAGUCUGUUUGUUCCUGUCAGGACACAUCACACACUGCCUGCUGUGAAAAAUGCUUCCAGGAAACAUCCACUCUGCAGUCUGAUGUGCUCUAAACUGUGAUGAAUGAAUCUGCAGAGAAAACAGCUGCACUGUUUCUUCGCUUGUCAGUUCAGAAAUAUAAUCCGUCUUAUCAAAUUUUUUUCCCUCCACAUUUCACAUACGCAGGGUUUUUGUUCUGAAGCCUCCAUGUUGUGCAGGGUGCAGCUGAAGUCGUGCUGCAUUCCAGGCGACUCGCAACUCCAACAUUUCCAACCUCCUGCUUGGAAAAAGUACGACUGAGCACCACUUGAAGUUGGAAAUCCUACUUGUAAACUCAUUUUUGUAGGUGACGUAUGGGUGAGUGGAAUAUUAACAUACAUUUCCAAAUAUAAAAGUGCCAUAAAAUUACAUCUAAAAUGGCGUCUGUUCCUCCGUGCAACGGGGCUACACAAGGUUUCUUGUUGAGUGUUGGCGUGGUCGGAAGUCGGAAAAUUUCAACUAAUUCCGACCUCCAGCUGUGACUGGAACGCACCAGUGGAGCAACAUGACGGCAGGCUCAGGCGACCGCACGCUGAUGAUCUGAAAUCAAUGUCGCCUGACCGUUGUGUGGUAAACCGCUGUCGUGUUGCACAUACAGCAACGCUCAGAGGCUUCACGUGUCACGUGCAUUUUUGCGUCUUUUCACAUGUUUAGUUUAUGCACAUAUUUGUUUUUGCACUUGAAUAAGAUCAACAGCAUUAAAAUAAUCUGAAGAGCUGCACAGAAACAC